rnacentral:rRNA from 1 species
UACGGGGGGAGCAAGCGUUGUUCGGAAUCACUGGGCGUAAAGGGCGUCUAGGCGGUCAGAUAAGUGGGAUGUGAAAUGCCCCGGCUCACCCGGGGACCGGCAUCCCAAACUGUCUGGCUUGAGUAUGGGAGAGGAUGUGGGAAUUCCUGGUGUAGCGGUGAAAUGCGUAGAUAUCAGGAGGAACACCGGUGGCGAAGGCGCACAUCUGGCCCAAUACUGACGCUAAAGCGCGAAAGCUAGGGGAGCAAACGGG